CUGUGAGGUUAUGCCAGUUCCAGUGAAAAAGGAUCAGUGCGGUUCAGGAUUGGAAAUUCUAAAGACUCCUAUUGUGGUGAUUUUUUGGAGCAGAGUUGGAUUGUAGGAUUCCACUCUCCUUGAUUAGGGAUAAAUACUACUUCAGACUUCUACAUAAUUGUACUUUUUCUUUUUUGAUGAAGUCUAUUUAGAUUAUCAACCCCUGAUGAAGUCCUAACGGACGAAACGCGUUGGGUUUACACUAUUGAGCUAACAAAGCUAUAAUACAAGCACCUGAUUGGAUGCACGUCUCCUACAAGUUCUGACUGAUCACCUGACUGUAAAUUCCUCACAACUAUGUAUAAGAUUGUUUAAUUGUUUUAUUGAACUUUUAGAUAUUUGUACCUAGGACAAACUUUUAGGUUAU